GCAGCCCGCGGUAAUACGGAGGGCGCGAGCGUUACCCGGAUUUACUGGGCGUAAAGGGCGUGUAGGCGGCUUGGGGCGUCCCAUGUGAAAGGCCACGGCUCAACCGUGGAGGAGCGUGGGAUACGCUCAGGCUAGACGGUGGGAGAGGGUGGUGGAAUUCCCGGAGUAGCGGUGAAAUGCGCAGAUACCGGGAGGAACGCCGAUGGCGAAGGCAGCCACCUGGUCCACAUGUGACGCUGAGGCGCGAAAGCGUGGGGAGCAAACCGGAUUAGAUACCCGGGUAGUCCACGCCCUAAACGAUGCGCGCUAGGUCUCUGGGUUAUCUGGGGGCCGAAGCCAACGCGUUAAGCGCGCCGCCUGGGGAGUACGGCCGCAAGGCUGAAACUCAAAGGAAUUGACGGGGGCCCGCACAAGCGGUGGAGCACGUGGUUUAAUUCGAUGCAAAGCGAAGAACCUUACCCGGGCUUGACAUGCCAGGGUUGUACCCCGGUGGAAACACUGGGGGAGCGUGGGGUUUUCUCACGCGCUCUGGCACAGGUGCUGCAUGGCUGUCGUCAGCUCGCGUCGUGAGAUGUUGGGUUAAGUCCCGCAACGAGCGCAACCCCUGCCCUUAGUUGCUACCGGGUAAAGCCGGGCACUCUAAGGGGACUGCCGGGGAUAACCCGGAGGAAGGAGGGGAUGACGUCAAGUCCUCAUGGCCCUUACGCCCGGGGCUACACACGUGCUACAAUGGGGGGUACAGAGGAUUGCGAACCCGCAAGGGGGAGCUAAUCCCAGAAAGCCCUCCUCAGUUCGGAUCGGGGUCUGCAACUCGACCCCGUGAAGCCGGAAUCGCUAGUAAUGGCGGAUCAGCAUGCCGCCGUGAAUACGUUCCCGGGCCUU
rnacentral:rRNA from 1 species